rnacentral:misc_RNA from 1 species
GACGAACUGAACAUUCUACCAGAAAACCUACUUUAGCUAUUGUCUUGGUCUAAGUUUGGCCCAUCGGCCGCCGUCGCAGCUGAAUUCAGCCAUGGCCGCAGUCGAUACCUCUAAUGUUGCAUCCUUAUCUGAGCAAUACUUACUGAAAGACCAAGAAGAGAAAUCCCCAAUGACCGCAAAACCGGUUGAAGAAACUGAGGUUAAGACCCCUUCAGCUGCUCCAGCUGAAGAAGUUCUUUCCAAAACUGAGGAGGCUCCAGUGGUUGAGAGCAUCAAAACGGCCCCUGCACCUGAGGAAAGCAGUGAAGCUGUAACUGAAUCAGCUGAAGCCUCUCCUCCUGUAGAGGCUUCCAGUGAUGAAAGCAGCGAAAGUACUGAAGAUGAGACCUCAGGAGAUCAGGAGUCUGCUGUUGAAACCCCUGCGAUUAAGCUUGAGACAGCACCUGCUGACUUCCGCUUUCCUACUACAAAUCAGUCGAGGCACUGCUUUACAAGAUAUGUUGAGUAUCAUCGGUGCACAGCUGCAAAGGGUGAAGGUGCACCUGAGUGUGACAAGUUUGCUAAGUACUACCGAUCCCUUUGCCCUGGUGAAUGGGUUGACAGAUGGAAUGAGCAGAGAGAGAAUGGAACCUUCCCUGGACCAUUAUAAAUUGCAGUACCCAAAUUGUUCUCGUCCAUGCUGCAUCUGAAUUCUCAAAUGAAUUGGGGGCUCCAUUUUUGUUUUUAAUAAAAUUUGGCGUGCUUAUUGGAUCUAGCUCAAGCCUUCAAUGAGUUUGCCGUUACAACAAAGUUAUUUUGGAUCAUCACUUGAGUUAUCCUCUUCCUAAAUACAAUUUUAUGCAUCGAUUUCCUGUAGUUUAUCAGUGAUGAAUCAUCUUGUGGAACCUGUUGACAUUUUUAUAAGUGAUGUGAACUGAUCAUUACACAAUAAUUGCUUACCAAAUAUUUGCUCAUCG